AUGGGUCAGCUGAAUAGGAAAUUCCAAGAAUUUGUCACCACUGCCUUCCAAAAGCAUGGCUGGUCACAGACUGUUCCAUCUUCUCAUGAAAAGAGUACUGUUGAGCUCCCUGUGAGUUCAGACUGCUAGUGAAGCUGCUAUAUGAUUUUACUUGAGCAUGUCCUGUUUUCAAAUUUGAAAUGCCAGAAUCACCUGAGAAGUAGUGGGCUAAUUUAUCACAGGAACAAAAAUAUACAAUGGAGACUGAAUGGAAGAGGAUGAGUUCUGACAGGCAUGCCUUUACUUUUUCAAGCAAGUAUUU
rnacentral:lncRNA from 1 species